ACGUAUGGCAGUGUGGGAGGAGUCCCAGUGCGGUUAUAAAUCGCGGAUGAAGCCAUCGGUCGGUCCAUUUCCUCUUCCAUUUUGGCACUGUCUGGUGCAAAAUGAAGACUCCAUAAAAGCCAGGUGGCUGGGUGGAUUUCAUCUGAACGUCGGAUAAAAAAAACUCCAGGGACUUCACUGGACUACAUCCUUGUAUUCCACUUAAAAGAUGACUGCCAUCAGAUUGGAAACAUCCUAUGAUCUGACUCUUAAGAUUGGACCAAACGUUUAUCACAUGGCUCUUAAAGCUGGAAGUAGACCCCACCGAUGACGAGAUGUUGAUGGGACAUAAUGGACUUGAAAGCACUACGAAAUGGAAACAGUUCAUUUCCGUUUUGAGAUGCUAAAGUGGUGGUGGCUGUAGCGGGGAGACUAUUUCGGUUUUGAGAUGCUAAAGUGGUGGCUGUAGCAAGGAGGGUUUAUUUCGGCUUUGAGAUGCUAAAGUGGUGGUGGUUGUAGCGGGGAGAGUUUAUUUCGGCUUUUAGAUGCUAAAGUGGUGGUGCCUGCAGCAGAUGGAAAAUGUGACAUAAACUGUCUACUCUAACCUGGAGCAGGUUGAUUGCCGCCAUGCUGUUUGCUUCAGCUGUGAGUUGAGAUGAAACUCCAAGCUUCCCAUCUUGUUUGCCAGAUGAAACUCCGAGUUUCCCAUCUUGUUUGCCAGGUGUGUAUGAUGUCCCCUGUUGCUGUCAUGUUCUUUUGUGGACGUGAUUAUUUCUUAUACCGCCCCAGUCUGAAGAUUCAUGACUGACUGGUUGGUGUACAGUAUGUUGCAGAUUAAACGUCAUCAGCCCAGCUUGUUCAGCAGGGACGUCUGACUCUGCUCCUAGCAGUCUUUAUUUGAUGUGACAUUGGCCAGAAUUUACUAAAUAUGGAUUGUUUUUAAAAUAAAACAAGUAAAUAUG